rnacentral:ribozyme from 1 species
UUUUUUUUUUUUUUUUUUUUUUUUUUUUUUUUUUUUUUUUUUUUUUUUUUUUUUUUUCAAGACAGCAGGGAAUGGAU